rnacentral:tRNA from 1 species
CGGCGUGGUGGCGGGGUUGGCGGCGGUGCUGGGCGUCUGGGACAUGCCGCCGGUGCUGCUGCGCACCGUCGUGACGCCGGUCGCCCCGGCCGCUCCGCC